GAACCACUUCGGUGGGGAUUAGUGGCGAACGGGUGAGUAACACGUGGGCAAUCUGCCCUGCACUCUGGGACAAGCCCUGGAAACGGGGUCUAAUACCGGAUACUGACCCGCUUGGGCAUCCAAGCGGUUCGAAAGCUCCGGCGGUGCAGGAUGAGCCCGCGGCCUAUCAGCUUGUUGGUGAGGUAAUGGCUCACCAAGGCGACGACGGGUAGCCGGCCUGAGAGGGCGACCGGCCACACUGGGACUGAGACACGGCCCAGACUCCUACGGGAGGCAGCAGUGGGGAAUAUUGCACAAUGGGCGAAAGCCUGAUGCAGCGACGCCGCGUGAGGGAUGACGGCCUUCGGGUUGUAAACCUCUUUCAGCAGGGAAGAAGCGAAAGUGACGGUACCUGCAGAAGAAGCGCCGGCUAACUACGUGCCAGCAGCCGCGGUAAUACGUAGGGCGCGAGCGUUGUCCGGAAUUAUUGGGCGUAAAGAGCUCGUAGGCGGCUUGUCACGUCGGUUGUGAAAGCCCGGGGCUUAACCCCGGGUCUGCAGUCGAUACGGGCAGGCUAGAGUUCGGUAGGGGAGAUCGGAAUUCCUGGUGUAGCGGUGAAAUGCGCAGAUAUCAGGAGGAACACCGGUGGCGAAGGCGGAUCUCUGGGCCGAUACUGACGCUAAGGAGCGAAAGCGUGGGGAGCGAACAGGAUUAG
rnacentral:rRNA from 1 species